ensembl:lncRNA
GUCGUCACACUCAGGGGGGUUUGUGAAGUUUGUGGAAUCUGACAGAGUAAAACUUUUGUGACGUUACCCAAACUUUUUUCAUCCCUUUGAAACGGUGUUUGCUUUUCCCUCCUUUCUGACAGACCUCCUCCUCCACACCAACUACAUUAGUAGGUGUGAGGGGGGAGAGGGAGUGACAGUGACCACAUGUGUAUUGCAAAGGUGCAAAGGUGAUGUGUAUUGACAAUCCAUUAAAAAGGGAAGAAAAAUAAAAAGAGGCACCUCCCUUGCAGGAUAAUGGGCCCUUGCGUUGUUUUUUUGUUUUGUUUUGUUUUAGUUUUUUUUUGUUUCUUUUUAUUUUGCAGAGAGAGUGAGAGGGCCAAAGGAGGAGAAGGUGCCUAAUCACUUUCCCUGGCGAGUUUUCUCAGGGGCUAGAGUGAAAGAUCACAGCACCAGCAGAGGAGGCCUGCCUUCCAGAGCUGACUGCUCCUCCCUCUCCCAUUCAGGGGCACCCGGGGUGGCUGGUUUAGGCCGCUGGGCCAUUGAAGGGGUGAUGGAUGGCUUCAUAAAGCCGUUUCUCUCUCGGGGCGGGCGGGAUGCUCGGUGAAGGAAUGCCAUCCCCUUCUUUCUCUCUCUCUCUCUCUCUCUCUCUCUCUCUCUCUCUCUCUCCCUCUCUCUCUCUCUGUCUCUCCCCCUCUCUCCCUAACUCUCCUUUUCCCCAAGGCAGGAGACAGAUGCGCGGGCUGUCCCUUUUCCUCCAGUUUCCCAUGAUUCCCAGGGGAGGGCCUUGGGACGGCUCCUGACGCCCCUAUUGUGAGGUGAACAGAGGUCACAUAUUAAGAGGGGCGAGUGAUGCAUGCACGCUGGGUUUUGUGGUGACGGUGCUGCUGCUGUAGCUGCUGCUGCUGCCAUUGCUGCUGUUGUUCUUCUUUCAGUAUUGUUUUGGUUUUUAGCGUUGAUGUGUUACUAGAGAGAGAGCCUGGCCUGGGCUGCACCGACUGCUCUCUUCUCACACAUGGGUGGGGGUGGGGGUGCGAGUGGGGGUGGCGGUUGGAGGCGAAGCCGAGCCUGUUUUGGCCUGAGGGGCCAUUGCUCUUUCGUGUUCAGAGUUGACCAUAAUAACCAGUUUGUGGGUUAUUUCUCCCUCAAACCGCCCGCCCCCACCCACCCCUCAAUCUCCCCACUCCCCCGGGCUACUGAAGUGAGAGCAUACUCGGGUUUAACUGUGUGGAGCCCAUUCAGGGCUUGUCUUUCUCGGUCCAGGCGUAGAAAUUGGCCACAUUUAAUCAGACACGGUGUGGGGUUUAAGGGGAAAAGGGAUCAAGAGAGCUUUUUCUUCAUUGAUUUGACACAGUUGAGG